ACUGACAAGCGAUGCUACGAAUGUGUCGAGCCUCUCUGACCGGGGGCUCCCCUGACAGGCAAGAGGGGAACCCCCAAAAGUGCCAUGCUAUGCGGGUCUAGCCCGGAGGCAUCCUCACGCGAAGUAAAGGAGAGGGAGGGGACGAAAAGAGGACGACCGACAACAUGAUUCGGGAUCUGACAUGUGUCGCCCUAGAGACGACGUGUGGGUGCGGACGGGAGAGGUCAAAAAAAAUAGUUCAAAUUGUUGGUUCCUUGUAACAACUAACAACCAUAUCCUGGAUUUGUUUUUUUCAUGAAUUAUGCAUUGAUGUCUCUAGAUUGCCUUGCACAGCUUUAUUGUCUUUGAGGAUUAUCCAUGUUUUCCUUUUGUUGUAUUCUCGUGACUGGAUAUUUAAUAGUGUUAUCGAAAGAAAGGAAAAAAAAUGCAAAACAAAGAAAUAAAAACAUAGCUAAAGAUAAAAAAAGUAACGAAAAAAUCACCUUAAUACGAUGUUUCAUUUGUCAAAAUUAUGCACUGUAUUAAUUUGUGAAUCUGUCCCUAAUGAUGGUGAGUGAAUUCAUCCAUGGGGAGAACAUAAGAAGAGGAUCAGCUAGUCAGCACAUAUGUAAUAUCACACUCACUAGUGGGAAGGAGGUGGAAAAAAUAUCACAUCUCUUUAUUUUACUAGACUGAACAGAGGCACGUGAACCAUGUGACCUAAGUUAUGCUAGAACAAGAUAUAUUGAUGGAAGACAUGACCCUAUUGCAACUGUCUAAGCAUGAUCCAUUAUUAUAAAUUGUGUGCCAACUCCGACUACUUCAUGUAGCUAGUCUUAGCCUCUACCACUCUGCCCAACCAUAUUUUGCUCUCUUCCUCCAGAUAGCAUUAGCACCGCAAUAUAUAUGGUGAGAGUCAUGAAUGCUUUAGGAGAGAAAGAACAGAAGAAAAUGGAUCAACCUACGAUCAUUUAGGUGGAACCGAAAACAUACAUGGAAAAGGGAGACAUCUGAUCACAUAUCCCUUGAAGCAACAUACUAGCUAGGGAGAUACGAUAGUUACCAUGAAAAUGGCCGAGGGAAAAGUGCAAGGAUGAUCUCCCAGUGGAGUUGCUUCAGUGAGGUAUGUGAGUAGCACCUCGUUGUUUGUAAAGAACCUCCACUCUGUGAUACAAAUAUAGCACUAGUAGCAGAUAGGAGUAGUUCACAAAUUUUUAGAUUGCAGCUACUAUUAUUUCGAAAUUAAGCUGCCUGAUAAUCGAGUUGUUGGCAAUUGCAGCAGUGGCUGAUUUCCUUACAUGUAGUUUGCGUGCAUGGCCACAUCGUGAGGUGCUUUCAACUUAUCACCGGACUGUUCAUCAUGGUAGCAGUAUCACACGACAUACACAUGCCACUCCGUCCCACUGG
rnacentral:lncRNA from 1 species